rnacentral:rRNA from 1 species
GAUGAACGCUGGCGGCGUGCCUAAUACAUGCAAGUCGAGCGAACAGACGAGGAGCUUGCUCCUCUGACGUUAUCGGCGGACGGGUGAUUAACACGUGGAUAACCUACCUAUAAGACUGGGAUAACUUCAGGAAACCGGAGCUAAUACCGGAUAAUAUAUUGAACCUCAUGGUUCAAUAGUGAAAGACGGUUUUGCUGACACUUAUAGAUUGAUCCGCGCCGCAUUAGCUAGUUGGUAAGGUAACGGCUUACCAAGGCAACGAUGCGUAGCCGACCUGAGAGGGUGAUCGGCCACACUGGAACUGAGACACGGUCCAGACUCCUACGGGAGGCAGCAGUAGGGAAUCUUCCGCAAUGGGCGAAAGCCUGACGGAGCAACGCCGCGUGAGUGAUGAAGGUCUUCGGAUCGUAAAACUCUGUUAUUAGGGAAGAACAAAUGUGUAAGUAACUAUGCACGUCUUGACGGUACCUAAUCAGAAAGCCACGGCUAACUACGUG